rnacentral:rRNA from 1 species
GACGAACGCUGGCGGCGUGCUUAACACAUGCAAGUCGAACGGAAAGGCCCUGCUUUUGUGGGGUGCUCGAGUGGCGAACGGGUGAGUAUCACGUGAGUAACCUGCCCUUGACUUUGGGAUAACUUCAGGAAACUGGGGCUAAUACCGGAUAGGAGCUCCUGCUGCAUGGUGGGGGUUGGAAAGUUUCGGCGGUUGGGGAUGGACUCGCGGCUUAUCAGCUUGUUGGUGGGGUAGUGGCUUACCAAGGCUUUGACGGGUAGCCGGCCUGAGAGGGUGACCGGCCACAUUGGGACUGAGAUACGGCCCAGACUCCUACGGGAGGCAGCAGUGGGAAAUAUUGCACAAUGGGCGGAAGCCUGAUGCAGCAACGCCGCGUGCGGGAUGACGGCCUUCGGGUUGUAAACCGCUUUCGCCUGUGACGAAGCGUGAGUGACGGUAAUGGGUAAAGAAGCACCGGCUAACUACGUG